rnacentral:RNase_P_RNA from 1 species
GAAGCAAGUAUGAAAGACGGUUGCGAGUCCAUUGGACUCGAGGAAAGUCCGAGCUCCAUAGGGCAGGAUGCCAGAUAACGUCUGGCGAGGGUGACCUUAGGGAAAGUGCCAUAGAAAAGGAAACCGCCACGUCAGUGGUAAGGGUGGAAAGGUGAGGUAAGAGCUCACCAGCAGUCUGGUAACAGGCUGGCUCGGUAAACCCCAUCCGGAGCAAGCCCGAAUAGGGAANNNNNNNNNNAACGGUGGUCCCGCCUACCUUCCGGGUUGUGUCGCUCGAGCGUGCAGGCGACUGUACGCCUAGAAAGAUAAUCGUCACCGUGCAAGCGGAACAGAACUCGGCUUAAUGAUUGCUUGCUUCCAUA